GCUGGAAGCGCCUUGGUUCCUGUCCUUUGUCGUGAGUCGGACUCAGUGGAAACAGGAGAAACAACUAGGAAUUGUCCAGCCAUCCAUGAUGCUACAGUCUUAACUCUGGCUGCACUCCAUUGAAGAAAAAACUCCCCUACUGGGCCUUGGAAUUGAAUACAGUAAGACACCUUAAGUAAAUGAAAAUCAAAAUAAAAAGUUGCAGAUGCUGGAAAUCUGAAAUAAAAGCAGAAACAGAUGCGACAGGUGUCAUAGAGGUGGAGGGUAUUGGACGUAUAUUUGCUGAAGAAACUCAACAAGGUAUCACGUCAAGUUCUGACAGUCACCCAAUUCAUCAGACUUUUGAAUGUGGGUGGAGAAAUGUUUGUUUGUUCUGCAAGUGGAUAAAGAUUUCAAUAUCAUUACGACUGGAAAACUACCAAGAAGCACGCACACACUUGAGAGAGAGUGCACCGGUGCCUUUGGAAAACACAGAUAGUCACAUAGCCUGCCAAAACAUUGUACUGUUAACAACGUGGAGAUACCAUACCUCUGUUCUGUGUGAGGACAAGGCUUCAAGUGAUUGUUCAGUCUGGAGAAAAACAGGGACACCUGCAACAUGGAGAAACCAUGGAAAUGUGGGGACUGUGGGAAGGGAUUUAAUUACCCAUCCCAGCUAGAAACACAUCGGCGCAGCCACACAGGGGAAAGGCCAUUUAUCUGCUCCUUGUGUGGAAAGGGAUUUACUAAAUCAUCUGGCCUUGUGACACACCAACGUAUUCACACAGGGGAGAGGCCAUUUACUUGUUCCUUGUGCGGGAAGAGAUUCACAGAGUUGUCCAAGCUCCAGGCACACCAGCGAGUUCACACCGAGGAGAGACCUUUCCAAUGUUCUGAGUGUGAUAAGAAAUACAAAAGUAAAAAUGAUCUCCUCACACACCAACGCACUCACACUGGGGAGAGACCAUUCACCUGCUCUGUGUGUGGGAAGAGAUUCUCUUGGUCAUCCAACUUGCUGCGACAUCAGCUUGUUCAUGCUGAUGACAGACCUUUUAAAUGCUCCGUCUGUGAGAAGAGCUUUAAAACUGCAAAGGAUCUGCUGACACACCAACUUGUUCACACUGACAACAGACCAUUUAAAUGCACCAUGUGCGAGAAGAGCUUUAAAAGCACACAGGAUCUGCUGACACACCAACGCACUCACACUGGGGAGAGGCCAUUCACCUGCUCUGUGUGUGGGAAGAGAUUUACCCGUUCAUCUGACCAGCUUAAACACGAACGAGUUCACUUAUGACUUGUAACAGGACUCUGAUGUUAAUCACAUUGCAGACUGAAUCAUGUUCAUUCCAAUGUUUAACAUUUAUUUCUGUAGAUUUUAAACUUUAGCUCAAUUAUAGGGGUAAUUGUUAUCAUCAUGGGUAAGCCAUCUAGUGUUGUGCCUGUCAGCACAGAUGCAGGAAUGAAUGAUGCCUGAACCUGUGUACUGUCUUUCCUCGAACAUAGUUUGGAUCAAGAGGAAUUCAGUUCACAGAGAACAGGACUGAAAAUCACUUAUGAGAGAAACAAAAGCAGUCAUUGGAGGAGCAAACAGGAGGAAAAAGUUGGUGCAAAAUUCUGGUAAUAAUCACAAAAACAUUUCCAACUAUGUAAGGAAUCAGCAGCCCCAUAAAGAUGGUUUAGGGCAACCGACUCGAACAGAUUCCCAUGCUUUGACAGGGUGGCAAAAUGACGAUUUUGUCUUAGUCUUUAGCCGUAUAAACGAUGCUCAGAUUCCAGGUAUGGGGUAACAGAUGCCAUAGAAUCAUGGACUCUGACAACACAAAAGGAGGAUUCUGCUAGGAAUAAUUGAGUGUGAUCCACUUCUCUGCUCUUUCCCCAACUUAGGGUCUUGGUCUUGGUCCUGCUCCAUCAUUCAGCAAGUUAGUGGCUGCUCUCUGAGCUUGGCCUCAACUCUACUUCCCUGCUUGUGCCCCAUAACCCCUGGAUUCCCCCUCAGCCUUGAUUCAGCCUUGAUCCCCACUCACAAGAGUAGAAAAAUAUAAGGAUUCAUAAUUGUCUGAGACAAGUUCCUUCUCAUCUCAAUCUGAAGUGACUGACACCAAUUCUACAGAUAUGCCCCUACUUCUUGAUCCUCUUCAGGCACAACAUUCUCACAUCUACCCGGUCCAGCCCCAUCAGGAUCAUGUCUCUGGGCGAUAACUUCAUUCUUCUAAACAGAAGAGAGUAUAUGUCCAAUCUUUUCUCAUAAAACACUGUGUUCUUCCCAGGAAUAAAUCUAAUACACAGCUUCAGAGGCAAGUAUAUUCUUUGUUAAAUAAGUAAACUAAACCAGUACACAGAGCAGGCCAAAGCAAGACUUCUGUUCUUUGUACUCCUUCCCUCUUGAAAUAAAUGCCAACUUUCACUUGGUAGUUGCAUGCUUAACCUGCAUGUUAACUUUGCGUGUCUUCUACAAGGCCAUCCAGGUACUUAUGAAUAGAAUCAGAAUCAGGUUUAUUAUCACUGACAUAUGUCGCGAAAUUUGUUGUCUUGUGGCAGCAAUUCAGUGCAAGACAUAAAAAUUACUAUAAGUUACAAAAAUAAAUAAAUAGUGCUGUCAUCCUGAAAUUAAUUUUCCCCUUCUGUCUGCUGUAAGUAACACAGUGCCACGAUGAGUUAUAAUCAAGCCAUUCAAAGGCAGGUAUCACCAUUCAUUAUUUAGACCAAGCCUCCACCUCGAUGUUAAUUACACCCAGUAUCGCCACAGUCUGACAUAUCGGAAUGCUCCAUUACCUGA